rnacentral:tRNA from 1 species
GUUCUGAUAGCUUAUUUAAAGCAUAACAUUGAAGCUGUUAAGAAAAUAUUUAUUUCAGAACA